CCGGAAGGUGCGGCUGGAUCACCUCCUUUCUAAGGAGCACCUGGCGCCGUCAGGCAGCGAGUGUCUGCCUCGGCGUCCACUGCUUUCCUAGUGGAGCACUGGUUAUUCGGUCAGGGAAGGCUACCGCCGCCUGGCUAGUACGUCCCGGCAGCGCCCCUCACAGGGCGCGGCAAGGGGACGGAACGGAGGCCGCGAGAGCUGGCCUGGCCGAGCACGCUGUUGGGUCCUGAGGAAACCGGUCUGUGUAAGCACAGCCCGGGGACUUCGGCUAGGGCGAGGCCUUUCCACCGCAGAUGCGGUGGCGGGGCCUUGUGCCGUCCGUAUCUUGAGAACUGCACAGUGGACGCGAGCAUCUUCUUCAUUGAAGAUAGACAUCACGUAUGUGGUGUCCCUUGUAGUGCAUCUGCGAAGUAUUGUUGCCAAGUUUUUAAGGGCGCAC
rnacentral:sRNA from 1 species